AGAAGUAUAGCUUAAUUAAAGCCUUUCGCUUACACCGAAAAAAAGUCCGUUAAACCCAGACUACUUCUAG
rnacentral:tRNA from 1 species